CUAGCCAGUUGGGUUUAAGUGACUUGUCCAGGAUCACACAGCUAGGAAGUGCCUGAGGCCAAAUUUGAACCCAGGACCUCUCAUCUCCAUGGCUGGCUCUGUAUCCAUUGAGCCAUCUAGCUGCCCCUCUGGUGCAUUUUUUCUGUUUCUUCCCUCCUUUGUUGUUUUCUUCCUUCCUUUGUUCCUUGUUUCCUUGUUUCUUUGUUUCUUUGUUUCUUUGUUUCUUUCCUUCCUUCCUUCCUUCCUUCCUUCCUUCCUUCCUUCCUUCCUUCCUUCCUUCCUUCUUUCUUUCUUUCUUUCUUUCUUUCUCUUUCUUUCUUUCUUUCUUUCUUUCUUUCUUUCUUUCUUUCUCUUCCUUCUUUCUUUCUUUCUUUCUUCAGAAAAUAACCAGGAAAAGUGAGCCUUUCCACUCACUACAUGUCAGUCCAAAAGGAAGAGAUUUAAGAACAGCCUCACCAGGGUCUCAGAUCCAGUCAGCAGAUUCUUCUCCAGUCUCAACUCAAACUCAGAACUCCAAGUAAAACUGCACUAAGGAAGUUGUCACUCCCUUUUAAAGACACUUUAUUUUGCAUCACUUCCUGUGCCUUCCUCCACUUUUACGUCUACCAAUCACAGUUGAAGCUUUGCUUUAGGACUGCCCAAGGGCAGUCAGUUUAAUUCUGAUUCGUUACCCACUUUUGCACACUUGGGUCACAGACCUCCCCUACUCAAAUGUGAAGGGGGUGUUUACACCUUUGGUGAUUAAAUCUAAAACUGGACAUAUCUCCCCACUCAACUUUAAGUAGGGUGUUUACACUUUUGGUGAAAUAGGCAGGGAUUACAAUUUAAUCUUCACAAUCAGAGGAGAGUUAAUUAAUUUCAUUUUCACAAUCAGGAGAGAAUUAAAUUUAAUCUUCACAAAGCCCAGCUCUCCUCCUCAUUUGCUGCAUUACCUUAAGAAGAUGGAAACUUCUCCAUCCCCUAGGAAGUGAGAAGGGGUUGGAAUGGACAGUCCUUGAGGUCUCCAAGAUUCUUGACAGAGAUCAUAAUUGUUCUAGCUCUAAUAUGAAAUGGUUCUAGGCUAGGGAGGGGGACAUCUAAAGCCAUUAUUGGUCCAUACCUUAGUCUGGA
rnacentral:lncRNA from 1 species